rnacentral:rRNA from 1 species
GACGAACGCUGGCGGCGUGCUUAACACAUGCAAGUCGAACGGAAAGGCCCUGCUUUUGUGGGGUGCUCGAGUGGCGAACGGGUGAGUAACACGUGAGUAACCUGCCCUUGACUUUGGGAUAACUUCAGGAAACUGGGGCUAAUACCGGAUAGGAGCUCCUGCUGCAUGGUGGGGGUUGGAAAGUUUCGGCGGUUGGGGAUGGACUCGCGGCUUAUCAGCUUGUUGGUGGGGUAGUGGCUUACCAAGGCUUUGACGGGUAGCCGGCCUGAGAGGGUGACCGGCCACAUUGGGACUGAGAUACGGUCAAGACUCCUACGGGAGGCAGCAGUGGGGAAUAUUGCACAAUGGGCGGAAGCCUGAUGCAGAAACGCAGCGUGCGGGAUGACGGCCUUCGGGUUGUAAACCGCUUUCGCCUGUGACGAAGCGUGAGUGACGGUAAUGGGUAAAGAAGCACCGGCUAACUCCGUG